AAAAGCUUCUAACAUGAUAUCGGAAUCUUGGAUUCCAUAUCAUGUUAGAAGCUUUU
rnacentral:sRNA from 1 species